rnacentral:rRNA from 1 species
AAGUUUAUGUCUCGUAGGUGACCUGCGGAGGGAUCAUUACUGAGUGAGGGCUUCGGUCCGACCUCCAACCCUUUGUGAACCAACACUUGUUGCUUCGGGGGCGACCCUGCCGCUUCGGCGGUGCGGCGCCCCCGGAGGCCAUUAAACACUGCAUCAUUGCGUCGGAGUAAAAGUAAAUUAAACAAAACUUUCAACAACGGAUCUCUUGGUUCCAGCAUCGAUGAAGAACGCAGCGAAAUGCGAUAAGUAAUGUGAAUUGCAGAAUUCAGUGAAUCAUCGAAUCUUUGAACGCACAUUGCGCCCUCUGGUAUUCCGGGGGGCAUGCCUGUUCGAGCGUCAUUUCACCACUCAAGCCUGGCUUGGUAUUGGGCGUCGCGGCUCCGCGCGCCUUAAAGUCCUCCGGCUGAGCUGUCCGUCUCUAAGCGUUGUGGCAACUAUUCGCUUCGGAGUUCGGGUGGCCGCGGCCGUUAAAUCUUUCACAAGGUUGACCUCGGAUCAGGUAGGGAUACCCGCUGAACUUAAGCAUAUCGUAGAA